rnacentral:rRNA from 1 species
CAAUAGCGUAUAUUAAAGUUGUUGCAGUUAAAAAGCUCGUAGUUGGAUUUCUGGUUGAAGCGACCGGUCGGGCGUUGAUUCGUCUGCACUGGAGUCGGUUUUGGCCAUCCUCUAGGAAAGUGCGUCUGGUAUUAAGUUAUCGGGCGUAUGAUCCUGGUCUUUUACUGUGAAAAAAUUAGAGUGUUUAAAGCAGGCCUUCGCCUUGAAUACAUUAGCAUGUAAUAAUAAGAUAGGACUUUGGUCUAUUUUGUUGGUUUGCAGACCGAAGUAAUGAUUAAUAGGGAUAGUUGGGGGUAUUUAUAUUCCGAUGUCAGAGGUGAAAUUCUUAGAUUUUCGGAAGAUAAACUUAUGCGAAAGCAUUUACCAAGGAUGUUUUCAUUAA